CCUGCGGAAGGAUCAUUGUCAAAACCCGCAAACCAGACCGUGAACCCGUUUUGAACAACUCUGGGGCAGCAGGAGGUGGGUAACCUCCCGCUGUGUCCCCAACCUCGUCGCUGUGCGCACCUAUGCCACGUCGAUAGGGCUAACAAACUUGGGCGCGGAAUGCGCCAAGGAAUACACAACUUAGCGCACCCCUCCCCAUCCACGCCCCGUCCGUGGGGCGGUGGGGAAGCUAAGGAUGUCUAUCGAAUGUCUAAACGACUCUCGGCAAUAGAUAUCUCAGCUCUUGCAUCGAUGAAGAACGUAGCGAAAUACGAUACUUGGUGUGAAUUGCAGAAUCCUGUGAAUCAUCGAGUCAUUGAACACAAGUUGCGCCCGAAGCCAUUAGGCCAAGGGCACGUCUGCCUAGGCUUUACGCAUCGUGUCGCCCCCUCCCCGUGGGGUGUGGCGGAGAUUGACCUCUCCUACAUGCUCGUGCACGCAGCCGGCCCAAAUGCGAAUCCUCUAUCAGUGCGCGUCGCGACCAGUGGUGGUUGAUAAUUCAACUCGCGUGCUGUCGUAUCCCGCAUUGUCGUCCGUUCGGAAACGACUACGAAACCCAACGGCGCGAGCACGAAUCGUGCCCACAACCGCGACCCUAGGUUAGGCGGGAUCACCCACUGAGUUUGAGCAUAUCAAUAAGC
rnacentral:rRNA from 1 species